rnacentral:rRNA from 1 species
GACGAACGCUGGCGGCGUGCUUAACACAUGCAAGUCGAACGAAGAGCGAUGGAAGCUUGCUUCUAUCAAUCUUAGUGGCGAACGGGUGAGUAACGCGUAAUCAACCUGCCCUUCAGAGGGGGACAACAGUUGGAAACGACUGCUAAUACCGCAUACGAUCUAAACUCGGCAUCGAGGAUAGAUGAAAGGUGGCCUCUACAUGUAAGCUAUCACUGAAGGAGGGAAUUGCGUCUGAUUAGCUAGUUGGAGGGGUAACGGCCCACCAAGGCGAUGAUCAGUAGCCGGUCUGAGAGGAUGAACGGCCACAUUGGGACUGAGACACGGCCCAGACUCCUACGGGAGGCAGCAGUGGGGAAUCUUCCGCAAUGGACGAAAGUCUGACGGAGCAACGCCGCGUGAGUGAUGACGGCCUUCGGGUUGUAAAGCUCUGUUAAUCGGGACGAAAGGCCUUCUUGCGAAUAGUGAGAAGGAUUGACGGUACCGGAAUAGAAAGCCACGGCUAA